rnacentral:rRNA from 1 species
GACAGAGGUGCCGAGCGUUAGGCGGAAUCACUGGGCUUAAAGCGUGUGUAGGCGGAUCUGUAAGUACCUUGUGAAAUCCCACGGCUCAACCCGUGGAACUGCUUGGUAUACUGCGGGUCUUGAGCCACCUAGGGGCAAGUGGAACAAGCGGUGGAGCGGUGAAAUGCGUAGAUAUCGCUUGGAACGCCAAUGGUGAAACAACUUGCUGGGGUGUGCUGACGCUGGAGACACGAAAGCCAGGGGAGCAAAACGGG